ensembl:lncRNA
UGGUAUAAAGCAGCAUCAUAGGGGAAAUGUCAGUCUUUCUUCCUUCUUUUGUUCUUUGCAGGUAUGAUGCUUGAAUUUACCGGAGUUGCCUUAUAACCAUGAAGAUGAAUAUCACUCCAAAAGGCUAAGCAAAAUAUGGAAAGUUUGGCCACUAAGCCAAAGUUGGGAUGUCUGACUUUUAGACUUUUGUUGUGGAACUUUUGCAACAAGGCUGCCUUUGCAAUACCUUUGUUUUGCCAAACAACAAAGACGAAGCCAAGUUGCCAGAUUUUAAGACUCAAAGAGGAAACCGUUUUACUUCACUACACUUUGUGCAGUGGCAUAAUUCUAUUCUCAUGCGUCUUUGGAGGAGUAUGAAAUUGCCCCCUCUCAUCAUGGUUUUCAAAGAC